rnacentral:rRNA from 1 species
AGUGGCGGACGGGUGAGUAACGCGUGGGUAACCUGCCCUGUACAGGGGGAUAACAGUUGGAAACGGCUGCUAAUACCGCAUAAGCGCACGAGAGGACAUCCUCUUGUGUGAAAAACUCCGGUGGUACAGGAUGGGCCCGCGUCUGAUUAGCUGGUUGGCAGGGUAACGGCCUACCAAGGCGACGAUCAGUAGCCGACCUGAGAGGGUGACCGGCCACAUUGGGACUGAGACACGGCCCAA